rnacentral:lncRNA from 1 species
GGAGACAGAGGGAGUCUGGCGCCCCCUGCUGCUGGGAGACGCCUUAUAUACCAGCUCCGAGGAGAGCGGGGAGGGCACAUGACCGCUUCCUUGUUGUUAUUUGACCUUGUGCUACACCGCAAGACUCUCACCAACCUUUAUUUACUUCCUUUUUCAGAUCUCUUUGUCAUCUACACAUUUUCAGUGUUGCUGUUUCCUCAAAGUAUCGCCUAGUAUAAGCAAAAACUUCCGGGGCAGCAGUCUGAGAGCCAAGGACAGGAGAAAGCUGUCAAAGUAAUGGGCAGCCUUCUCCCUCUCCCCACAGUGCCCAGAUACAGGCCCGUGGGUGUGAGCAGGGUCGGGGCUUCCGAACCCCCAGGGGAAUCAGGAGCCGGGAGCAGGUGGACCUUGGGCUUCUGUGACGUUGGUAAGCGAAGCUGAAGGCACAUCCCUGACCUCAGAGAGAUUGCCUGGGAUGUGACACUGGUGACCAGGGUGUGAACGGGGAAGGACACAUUCCAAGGUCACUGGCGCAGCCGGAUUCCCUCUUCACCCUUACAGAACAGUGGGAUCAGGGGCUGGAAUGUGCACUCGUACCUCUCUGUUCGCAGCAUACCUCUGUGGUUCGCCGGCUGCACACCUAAGGGCUGUUGUAAAAGCCCGGGUCAAUCACUGCAGGAGCCGCCACGUCGGCGCCGCAAUCCUUGUGUUUCAAGUCCUUCCACCCAAAACAUUUCCAAACUGCUAGGAAUCAUCUCCUGGAAAAAGUAUGCUUGAGCCCAGCACCUCAAAAGUCUUGGACCUCGGCUAAAUGAGCCACCUGUCCUAGGUGAAGAGUGUUGGCUGCCACUCAGUCCCCUCUGUUCUACUUUUCCUUCUCUGCAUGCAAUCUCUCUUUUUUUCUUUUUUACCUCUAUGUUGUGAAUUACAUAAUAUUGUCCAAAUUUCCUCAUAAAAUAAAGUAUAAGCCUAUAAAAAGUACUUUUUGUGUUCUCUUUUUUUUUUUUAACCACAUUAAUCUUUGUCUUUCCUGAAAGUUGAGAGAUUUUCGUUUUCA